rnacentral:rRNA from 1 species
AUUGAACGCUGGCGGCAGGCCUAACACAUGCAAGUCGAACGAGUGGCGGACGGGUGAGUAAUGUCUGGGAAACUUCCUGAUGGAGGGGGAUAACUACUGGACACGGUAGCUAAUACCGCAUACCAUCGGAUGUGCCCAGAUGGGAUUAGCUAGUAGGUGGGGUAAAGGCUCACCUAGGCGACGAUCCCUAGCUGGUCUGAGAGGAUGACCAGCCAAACUGGAACUGAGACAAGGGCCAGAAUCCUACGGGAGGGAGCAGUGGGGAAUAUUGCAAAAUGGGGGCAAGCCUGAUGCAGCCAUGCCGCGUGUAUGAAGAAGGCCUUAGGGGUGUAAAGUACUUUCAGCGGGGAGGCGUUACCCGCAGAAGAAGCACCGGCUAACUCCGUGCCAGCAGCCGCGGUAAUUC